rnacentral:rRNA from 1 species
AACGAACGCUGGUGGCGUGCCUCAUACAUGCAAGUCGAGCGAGGCUUCGAGUCGAGCGGCGUACGGGUGAGUAUCGCGUGAGUAACCUACCCUAUAGUUGGGAAUAACCCCCCUAACGGGGGACUAAUACCGAAUAUUGAGUGGCACUGCAUAGUGCUUAGUCGAAAGGGCGCAAGCCCGCUAAAGGAUGGACUCGCGUCUGAUUAGCUAGUUGGAGGGUAACGGCCCACCAAGGCGAUGAUCAGUAGCCGACCUGAGAGGGUGAUCGGCCACAAUGGGACUGAGACACGGCCCAUACUCCUACGGGAGGCAGCAGUAGGGAAUCUUGCGCAAUGGACGAAGUCUGACGCAGCAACGCCACGUGUGGGACGACGCCUUUCGGGGUGUAAACCACUGUUAGCAGGGACUAGCCUACGACGUAGGUCGUACCGAAUGUACCUGCAGAGAAAGCACCGGCAAACUUCGUGCCAGCAAGCCGGGUAGGCUACGUAGA